ACUUAGUUAGCAGCUCUGGUAACUUUUCAAAGCCAGGUAAGCCCAGUAAGUGAGUAAGUUAGUAAGUUAGUACGCUCGACAUUCGACAGAAGGUGUCAGCUGGGGAUUCGGUUCCAUUAAAAUCAUUAAGCGUCUGAUUAAUUAGCCAAUAGCUCAACUGUCUCGGCAGUCGCGGUCGAACAAUCGGAUCAGGUUAAACGGGUGAUUAUUAAUACCGCUUAACGUCGGUUUAGAUUAAUUUUAAAUGAAUAUUCAUUGUGAAUCGUUGAUGAUAUCUAAUAUCUGGUUUAAGUGAGUCCGUUUUAUUUCGUCAUGAUUCAUGAUUCACGAUGAAGUUGCGCGUUUUGCAACACUGAUUCAUCUUUCGUCAAGAAAUAUAUGCAGAACUCAUGACAAGACUCUUUUAUAAUUUCAAUCAAAUUCCAGACACGGGAAGACAAGGGAAUUCAGUAAGAAUUGGAGUAGAAAGAAACCUGUUCCUUUCUACAACCCCAAACGUCUUUGAGAGGAAGCCAGAAGACAAAGCAUCGCGACAUUAAAACAGAGUACAAAAGGAUGAAAAUGAAGGGCGGAAUCACCGUUGACAGCCGGUUUCCCUAAAACCAGGAUUCUGACGUUAAAUGUGCCUUUAUCGGGAAAUUUUUUCCAGAAAGGUAUGUAACGCAGUAAACUUUUUCUGGAUAUUACUUUCGUAAAAGCAAUUGAGCUCUCUUGAAAAAAAGGUCCAAGAAAAAUGAGCGGUCUUAACCUUUCCGCUCGGGAGGAAGA